rnacentral:lncRNA from 1 species
GUUCAAGCGAGUCUCCUGCCUCAGCCUCCUGAGUAGCUGGGACUACACGUGUGUGCCACCAUGCCUGGACAGGUUUCCAUGUGCAAGGCUCCAGCCCAGACCAAUGACACUGCUUAUCUAUGAUUGUCAAAAUGCCAGCUAUCACCAGUGAAGAACUCCAGGUGGCACAAAUACUAUGACCUGUCUCCUAACAGAUCUCAGGAGGUAUUCCAUAGACAUCGGAUAUCUGUGUCUUAUGUCUCCAGUUUAAUUGUAAAUCCCCAAAGGACAGAACUGAGCCUGCUUCUUUGGUUUUCAAACAAAAUGUCACAUCCAGUGACAUUUUGAAAAUAAAACUUUGGCUCAUAAAUUUUAGAGCCAAGCAUAGGAUGCUGACAAGGGCCCUACCCAGCCAAUGGACAGCAGCUUGGUGACUUCUGAUCUCAUUUUUACUUAGAAAAAUUUCUCUAAAAUCAAUUUAGAGAGUUAUGAUCAGCACUAAAAAAUAAAUAAAAUAUAAGCAAAGGGAAAAUAUCCCAGUGAAUUACCCUUCAUAAGGAUGAGGAUUGCUUUGGGAAAUGUUUUAGUAUAUGUGCACUGUGUCAUAACCAGCAUUUUGAAAACCAUUGUGCAGCAGUGUAAGGACUCCAUAGAUGCUUGGUUUGGGGUCAUUUAAAUUGUCAAAGGAAGAGUGGAGGUAAAGAUUUGUAAAGGAGCCUCUCUGUAAAAUCAUGAGGGUCCUUUUGUGGCUCCUGAUCUUUGAUCCAUCAGUCUCAGAAUGAGGUGUAAGCAAGCCAUUAGGUUGCUGCAUGAGUCUGGUUGGGCACCUCCUUCCCUCAUUUUGAACAGUGAGAUUAAGCCACAAACUCUCUGAGGAGGUUCAAAUGCUGAUGUAAGUCUCAGAGUGAACACAACCUAUAAACACUACUAUAAGUUUCAAUCAUGUAAAUGGGAAGUUAAUUAUGAUUGUCAUAAACUGCUAGGUUCAACAACCUUCAAUUUAUUUUUUUAAAUGUUAAUGGAGUGCUUCCCCUGUGCCAGGAUUGUGUAGCCUGAAAAUACAGAGUUGAAUGAGGUACAGGUUACAACUUAGAAGAGCUUAUGAUCUAAUACAGGAGUUGGCAAACUACAGCCUGUGGGCCAAAUCUGGCCUACAAUCUGUUUGCAUAAAUAAAGUUUUAUUGGAAUUCA